AUAGCGUUCCGUUCUGUCGCUGCCAGGCCUAGCCUGGGGGAGGAAAGUCCGGACAACUCAGAGCACCAUACUUCCUAACGGGAAGGGCCUUCGUUCGGGUACGGAGGUACGACCAGUGCCGCAGAAAAGAACCGCCUCGCUUGCGAGGUAAGGGUGAAAAGGUGGGGUAAGAGCCCACCAGUGCAUCGAGCGAUCAGUGCAGCUGGGUAAACUCUAUGGGUUGAAAGACCGUGUAUACCGGGAUUGAGGGCUGCUCGCCCGACCGGGGGGUAGGUCGAUGCCGAUCGUACGCGUGAGCGUGCGGCUAGAUAAAUGACAGAAGCCUGCUUCGGCAGGAUACAGAAUCCGGCUUACAGGAACGCUAAAUAC
rnacentral:RNase_P_RNA from 1 species